rnacentral:rRNA from 1 species
UGGGGGAUAUUGCACAAUGGGCGAAAGCCUGAUGCAGCGACGCCGCGUGGGGGAUGAAGGCCUUCGGGUUGUAAACUUCUUUUGCUCUGAACAAGGCAUGCCUUUGGGUAGUGGUGAGUGUAGCGGGUAAAGAAGCGCCGGCUAACUACGUGCCAGCAGCCGCGGUAAUACGUAGGGCGCGAGCGUUGUCCGGAUUUAUUGGGCGUAAAGGGCUUGUAGGCGGUUUGUCGCGCCUGUCGUGUAAUCCUCUGGCUUAACUGGGGGUGUGCGGUGGGUACGGGCAGGCUUGAGUGCGGUAGGGGAGAUUGGAAUUCCUGGUGUAGCGGUGGAAUGCGCAGAUAUCAGGAGGAACACCGGUGGCGAAGGCGGGUCUCUGGGCCGUUACUGACGCUGAGGAGCGAAAGCGUGGGGAGCGAACAGG